AGAGCCAGACUCGGAUGAAAACCCACAAGAACAGUCUGUGAAUAGAUUGACAGCUGUAGCAGCUGAGCUGAAGCAGUGGCAGACAAUACAGCCAGAACUGUUGUCCACAAAUCCUGAGGUGUUACUCGCCGUUGGAGCAGAGGAGUUACAGAAGCUGAAUUCACAACUGGAGUUGGUCCUCUCCUGCUCACAAGCCAAGAGAGA